rnacentral:rRNA from 1 species
CCUGGUUGAUUCUGCCAGUAGUCAUAUGCUUGUCUCAAAGAUUAAGCCAUGCAUGUCUAAGUAUAAGCAACUUUAUACUGUGAAACUGCGAAUGGCUCAUUAAAUCAGUUAUAGUUUAUUUGAUGGUACUUUGCUACAUGGAUAACUGUGGUAAAUCUAGAGCUAAUACAUGCUUAAAAGCCCCGACUUCUUGGAAGGGGUGUAUUUAUUAGAUAAAAACCAACCCUUCGGGUCCCUUGGUGAAUCAUAAUAACUUUUCUAAUCGCAUGGCCUUGUGCCGGCGAUGCUUCAUUCAAAUAUCUGCCCUAUCAACUGUCGAUGGUAGGAUAGAGGCCUACCAUGGUUGCAACGGGUAACGGGGAAUAAGGGUUCGAUUCCGGAGAGGGAGCCUGAGAAACGGCUACCACAUCCAAGGAAGGCAGCAGGCGCGCAAAUUACCCAAUCCCGACACGGGGAGGUAGUGACAAUAAAUAACAAUAUAGGGCUUUUAAAGUCUUAUAAUUGGAAUGAGUACAAUUUAAAUCCCUUAACGAGGAACAAUUGGAGGGCAAGUCUGGUGCCAGCAGCCGCGGUAAUUCCAGCUCCAAUAGCGUAUAUUAAAGUUGUUGCAGUUAAAAAGCUCGUAGUUGAACUUCAGGCCUGGCCGGUCGGUCCGCUUAACAGCGUGUACUGCUUGGCCGGGCCUUCUCUCUUGGUGAUCCGGCAUGCUCUUUACUGGGUGUGUCGGGGAACCAGGAUUUUUACUUUGAAAAAAUUAGAGUGUUCAAAGCAGGCCUAUGCCCGAAUAUAUUAGCAUGGAAUAAUAAAAUAGGACGUGCGGUUCUAUUUUGUUGGUUUCUAGGAUCGCCGUAAUGAUUAAUAGGGAUAGUUGGGGGCAUUAGUAUUCACAUGCUAGAGGUGAAAUUCUUGGAUUUUGUGAAGACUAACUACUGCGAAAGCAUUUGCCAAGGAUGUUUUCAUUAAUCAAGAACGAAGGUUAGGGGAUCGAAAACGAUCAGAUACCGUUGUAGUCUUAACAGAAGCAGUGGGCUGUGGGAAGCAGUGAGAUCGCAUCUUGCUAUGUAUCGUCGUUCUGUGGGGGAUGUUCAUCG